AUACGUAGGGGGCGAGCGUUGUCCGGAAUGAUUGGGCGUAAAGGGCGCGUAGGCGGCGCGGUAAGUCUGGAGUGAAAGUCCUGCUUUUAAGGUGGGAAUUGCUUUGGAUACUGCCGCGCUUGAGUGCAGGAGAGGUUAUCGGAAUUCCCAGUGUAGCGGUGAAAUGCGUAGAGAUUGGGAGGAACACCAGUGGCGAAGGCGACUUACUGGGCCGUAACUGACGCUGAGGCGCGAAAGCGUGGGGAGCGAACAGGAUUAGAUACCCUGGUAGUCCACGCGGUAAACGAUGAAUGCUAGGUGUUGCGGGUAUCGACCCCUGCAGUGCCGGAGUCAACACAAUAAGCAUUCCGCCUGGGGAGUACGGCCGCAAGGUUGAAACUCAAAUGAAUUGACGGGG
rnacentral:rRNA from 1 species